UACGGGGGGGGCAAGCGUUGUUCGGAAUUACUGGGCGUAAAGGGCUCGUAGGCGGCCAACUAAGUCAGACGUGAAAUCCCUCGGCUUAACCGGGGAACUGCGUCUGAUACUGGAUGGCUUGAGAUUGGGAGAGGGAUGCAGAAUUCCAGGUGUAGCGGUGAAAUGCGUAGAUAUCAGGAGGAACACCGGUGGUGCAGACGGCUCUCUGGACCGUAACUGACGCUGAGACACGAAAGCGUGGGUAGCAAACAGG
rnacentral:rRNA from 1 species